rnacentral:rRNA from 1 species
AACGCGAAGAACCUUACCAAGGCUUGACAUGGAUUUCUAAGCACGUGAAAGCGUGUGACCCUUCGGGGAACUUCCACAGGUGCUGCAUGGCCGUCGUCAGCUCGUGUCGUGAGAUGUUGGGUUAAGUCCCGUAACGGGCGCAACCCUUGUCCUUAGUUACCAGCACGUAAUGGUGGGCACUCUAAGGAGACUGCCGGUGACAAACCGGAGGAAGGUGGGGAUGACGUCAAGUCAUCAUGGCCCUUACGGCCUGGGCUACACACGUGCUACAAUGGCCGGUACAAACCGCCGCAAACUCGCAAGAGGGAGCCAAUCGGAAAAAGCCGGUCUCAGUUCGGAUUGGAGCCUGCAACUCGACUCCAUGAAGUUGGAAUCGCUAGUAGUCGCAGAUCAGCAUGCUGCGGUGAAUACGUUCCCGGGUCUUGUACACACC